CGCGCAGCCCCGCCCUCGGGACUCGCUCACUCCUAGUAACUGCGAGAACUUCCGACGCGAGGGCGACGGCGACUCCUGCGGGAAGCGGGCGCCCGGGGCCGGCUGUGGGCGAAAGCCGCGGACCCGGAGCAGGCACCACCCCCGCGAUCUCCCCACGGCCGAGCCACUCCGCGCCCGGGAGCCCCCGGAACCCGCCGACUGCAGGACGGCCCGCCUCUCAUGGCCACGCCCUCGUCCCUCCGGAGACGCUAGCGCGCUGGACACUUCUGAGUCUGCGCGGAAGACACGCCAGCUUUGGACUGCGAUUCCCAGAAGCCUCCGGGUCUCCUCGGCGCUCCGACUCCAUUUCCCAGGCAUCUCGGCCCCGGUCCUGAAAUCCUCGGAGCUUAAAAGAGGCGGAGUCUGCUCUCGGGGGCGUCGCGGACGGGCGCUCCUGGCGCAGCCGCAGGGCCUCCGCCUCGGGUUGGGCUGGGAAGUCCGACCCCACGUGAUGGAUGCAGCGCGCACUUACCGUUGCAAAGCCUUCCCGGACUUUCCGGACCUUCCAUCCAUUCCCACCCCCUGCCUUUCCUUGUAUUACUUUUGGCUUUACAUUCUAUCUUUUUGAUCUGUCACUGCUUUGAUAAUGUGUCUCAGUGUUUAUAGGUUUUCCACUUCAAAUGCAUCGCUUUGCAAAGCAAAUUCACCCUUUUGCAAAAUCCUCAGUUACUUCAAAUAUUUUUUUGCGAAUUUCUCCGAAGAUUACUGUGGAAAUUGAAUGAAGAUAAUUUGGAGGAUGUAUGGUUGGUUUUGGACAAUGUAAGCCUCCACAACCCCAGGAAGUCCGGUGAUCUUGUUGGUAAGACGAGGCGUUCCCUACUAUUCCUGCCACCAUAUCUCCAAUGAUGAGGCCCACUGAAGGAGUUUUUUUCAGAGGUUAAGUUCUGCGCGAGAAAUAUUUGGCAGAUCCUUCAAACCAUGAACGUUUCAGAUGUUAAUCAUUCCGUAGCGACCGUUACUCCAGAAGAUUAUCCUAAUUUAUAAAUAUGUAUAUGAAAUUGCCACAAGCGGCGACAGGAGAACCAUUAUAAGGGAGAUUAUAAGUAAAUAAGUAGUU